rnacentral:rRNA from 1 species
AUUGAACGCUGGCGGCAUGCCUAACACAUGCAAGUCGAACGGCAGCACGAUUGAGGGUAACCUUAAUUGGUGGCGAGUGGCGGACGGGUGAGUAAUAUGUAGGAAUCUACCUAGAGGUGAGGGACAACUUAGGGAAACUUAAGCUAAUACCGCAUAAGCCCCACGGGGGAAAGCAGGGGAUCGAAAGACCUUGUGCCUUAUGAUGAGCCUACAUCGGAUUAGCUAGUUGGUGGGGUAAAGGCCUACCAAGGCUACGAUCCGUAGUUGGUCUGAGAGGAUGAUCAACCACACUGGGACUGAGACCCGGACCAGACUCCUACGGGAGGCAGCAGUGGGGAAUAUUGGACAAUGGGGGCAACCCUGAUCCAGCAAUGCCGCGUGUGUGAAGAAGGCCUUAGGGUUGUAAAGCACUUUCAGUGGGGAGGAAGGAUGUGGUGUUAAUACCAUUACAUUUUGACGUUACCCACAGAAGAAGCACCGGCUAACUCUGUGCCAGCCGCCGCAGUAAGAC